UAGGGAAUAUUGGGCAAUGGGGGCAACCCUGACCCAGCCAUGCCGCGUGCCGGACGAAGGCGCUCUGCGUUGUAAACGGCUUUUAUCUGGGAAGAACUGCAUUCCUGCGGGGGUGCUUGCCGGUACCAGAGGAAUCAGCACCGGCUAACUCCGUGCCAGCAGCCGCGGUAAUACGGAGGGUGCGAGCGUUGUCCGGAUUUAUUGGGUUUAAAGGGUGCGUAGGUGGGCUGCUAAGUCUGGUUUGAAAGCUGGUCGCUCAACGAUCAGAUGUGGCUGGAAACUGGUGGUCUUGAAUGCGGUAGCGGUAGCCGGAAUGGGUCAUGUAGCGGUGAAAUGCAUAGAUAUGACCCGGAACCCCGAUUGCGAAGGCAGGCUACUGGGCCGUGAUUGACACUGAGGC
rnacentral:rRNA from 1 species